rnacentral:lncRNA from 11 species
AACAUUUUAAAUCAAAUCCAUGAAUAAUUAAAACCACUAAUGUCAAAAGCCUCAAUGUAGAGGGACAGCUGCAGCUGGCGGACCUUUCUGCAGAAAAGGGGAGAAAUUGUGAACCAUACAUACACACACAGAGCCAAAGUUCUCAUGCCUUCUGCUGUUUCCAAGAUGAAAACUGGGGCAUACGUGACCAGAAAAGGUCAAAGUGUGGUCAAGAUUGCAAAAGAUACUACUGAGGAAACCAGAAAGAUCAGGGCUGCUGACCGGCGGUUCGAAUCUGAGGACAGCAGGUGAGCUCCCUCUGUCAGCUCCAGCUUCCCAUGCAGAGACAUGAGAGAAGCCUUCCACGGGAUGGUAAAAACAUCAAAACAUUUGGGCAUCCCCUAGGCAACAUCUUUGCAGACGGCCAAUUCUCUCACACCAGAAAUGACUUGCAGUUUCUCAAGUCACCCCUGUCAUGAAAAAAAACAAACCAUUCUUAUUAGCAUUAUUUAUGUUCCCACCCUUCCCCCAAAAUUGGGAUUAAAGUGGUU